CCUGACCUGCAUCCGAUACGGUCGAGCUAGAGUUUGGUAGGGGAGACUGGAAUUCCUGGUGUAGCGGUGGAAUGCGCAGAUAUCAGGAGGAACACCGAUGGCGAAGGCAGGUCUCUGGGCCAAUACUGACACUGAGGAGCGAAAGCGUGGGGAGCGAACAGGAUUAGAUACCCUGGUAGUCCACGCCGUAAACGGUGGGCGCUAGUUGUGCGAACCUUCCACGGUUUGUGCGACGCAGCUAACGCAUUAAGCGCCCCGCCUGGGGAGUACGAUCGCAAGAUUAAAACUCAAAGGAAUUGACGGGGCCCCGCACAAGCAGCGGAGCAUGCGGCUUAAUUCGACGCAACGCGAAGAACCUUACCAAGGCUUGACAUAUACAGGAAUAUGGCAGAGAUGUCAUAGCCGCAAGGUCUGUAUACAGGUGGUGCAUGGUUGUCGUCAGCUCGUGUCGUGAGAUGUUGGGUUAAGUCCCGCAACGAGCGCAACCCUCGUUCUGUGUUGCCAGCAUUUAGUUGGGGACUCACAGGAGACUGCCGGGGUUAACUCGGAGGAAGGUGGGGAUGACGUCAAAUCAUCAUGCCCCUUAUGUCUUGGGCUGCACGCAUGCUACAAUGGCUGGUACAAACGGCUGCAAUACCGCAAGGUGGAGCGAAUCCGAGAAAGCCAGUCUCAGUUCGGAUUGGGGUCUGCAACUCGGCCCCAUGAAGUCGGAGUUGCUAGUAAUCGUAGAUCAGCAACGCUACGGUGAAUACGUUCCCGGGGCUUGUACACACCGCCCGUCACAUCACGAAAGUCGGUAACACCCAAAGUCAGUGGCCCAACCGCAAGGA
rnacentral:rRNA from 1 species